GCCUGCUACAUGUUGCAGAAUGUUGGAUUCCACAAAUAACAACACAACCUGUUUCUAAGAGAAAGCUGACCAAGAGGGAGAAAUUUGGACAUGGAUAUGCAUAUGCACAAAGGAACAACCACACUAAGGCCAAGGGAGAAGACAGUCAUCUACGAAUCAAGGAGAGAAGCCACAAAAUGAAACUAAUCAUGCCAGCACCUUGAUUUCAGUCUUCCAGCUUCAAGAAUUUCUGAGCCUCUGAGCAGAAGCUAAGCCAUCAUAACCCCUGUGACCUGCAUGUAUACAUCCAGACGGCCUGGAGCAAUGGAAGAACAACAAAAGAUGACAUUCCAUCAUUUGAUUUGUUCCUGCCCCACCCCAACUAAUCAAUCGACCUUGUGACAUUCCUCCCCUGGACAAUGAGUCCCAUGAUCUCCCCACCCUGCACCUUGUGACCCCUGCCCCUGCCCGCAAGAGAUAACCAACUUUAACUGUAAUUUUCCAUUACCUACCCAAAUCCUAUAAAACUGCCCCACUCCUAUCUCCCUUUGCUGAAUCCUUUCUCCGACUCAGCCCACUUGCACCCAAGUGAAUAAACAGCCUUGUUGCUCACACGAAGCCUGUUGGUGGACUCUCUUCACAUGGAUGUGCGUGACACCCUCUACCCUCCAAUAGGCCCCAAUGUGUGUUAUUCCCCUCUAUGUGUCCAUGUGUUCUUAUUAUUUAGCUCCCACUUACAAGUGAGAGCAUGCAGUAUUUGGUUUUCUGUUUCUGCAUCAGUUUGCUAAGGAUAAUGGCCUCCAGCUCCAUCCAUGUUCCCGAAAUGAUCUUGUUCUUUUUAAUGCCUGUAUAGUAUUCCACAGUGUAUAUGUACAAAAUUUUAUUUAUCCAGUCUACCACUGAUGGACAUUUAGGUUGAUUCCAUGUCUUUGCUAUUGUGAAUAGUGCUGCAAUGAACAUACAUGUACAUGUGUCUGGGAAGGAGGGAAGGAAGGACGGAAGGAGGGAAGGAAGGAAGGAAGGAAGGAAGGAAGGAAGGAAGGAAGGAAGGAAGGACAAGUGUUGGCAGUAAAUAUGUAGAGAAAUGAGAAUACUUAUACAUUGUAGGAAUAUAAAAUAAUUCAGCUGCUAUGAAAAAGAGUUUGGGAGCACCUCAAAACAUAAACAUAGAAUUAUCAUAUGAUCUUCUAAUUCUAUUUCUGGAGGUACACCCUCCAGUGUUGAAAAACUAGUACUCAAACAAGUCAGUGUACAUAAACAUUAAUAGCAGGACUAUUCACAAUAGCCAAGGUGGAAAUAACCAAAUGUUCACAAACAGAUAAAUAGAUAUCAAAUUAUGGUGUGUAUUUAUAUAUAUACACACACACACACACACACACACACACAUACACAAUGGAAUAUUACUGAGCCAUAUAAAAAUGGAGUAAAGCUAUAGUGUGAAUAUUGGUGUCUGAGGCCAUUUUAUGUUGCUUAUAAUACCUGAAUCUGGUUAAUUUAUAAAGAGAAGGAAUGUAUUUCCUACAAUUAUGGAGACUGAGAAGUUCAAGGUUAAGGAGGUGCACUUGGCGAGAGCCUUCUUGCUGAUGAGGACUCUCUGAAGAGUCCUGAAGCCUCACAGGGUAAGAUAGGGCAAGGAGGAUGCGCAUGCUACUCAGAUAUCUCUUGCUCUUACCAUAAAGCCACCAGUCCCUCCACCAAUGAUAGCCCAUUAAUUCUUUAACUCAUUAAUCCAUGAAUGGUAUCUGCCCUCAUGAUCCAAUCACCCAUUAAAGGUCCCAUCUUUCAACACUGCCACAUUGGGGAUUAAAUUUCAACAUGAAUUUUGGAGGGGACAGAUAUUCAAACCAUAGCAGUUGGUGCCCCCACCACUAUCUAAUUUACGUGUUAGAACCUAACACCCAAUGUGAUAAACCCAAUGUGAUAGCAUUGAGUUGGGGCCUCUGAGAAUAAGUAAGUCAUAAGGACUCUGCUUAGUGCCCUUAUAAAGGAAGCUUAAGUGAGCUGCCUUGCAAGUUCCAUCAUGCAAGAAUGCAGCAAGAAGCCUUCCUCUUUGAAGCACAGGCACAAGCCUCACCAGAUAUUGAAUUUGUUGGUGGCUUCAUCUUGGACUCCCCAAACUCAACAACUAUAAGCAAUAAAUUUCUGUUGUUUACAAAUUCUCUAGUCUAAGAUAUUUUGUUAGAGCAGCUAGAACAAACCAAGACAAGUACUGACACAAUAAUAAGGAUGAAUCUGAAAAAAAAAAAAAUUAUACCUAGUCAAAGAAGCCAGACACAAAAUGUCACAGAUUGUAUGAUUUCAUGUAUGAAAUAUCCAUAAUAGGUAAAUCCAGAGAGACAGACAGAAAGCAGAUUGGUAAUUGACAGAGGCUGGAGGAUGAGAGAAUGAGGAGUAACUGCUUGAUAGGUACAAAAUUUUCUUAGGGGAUAAUAUAUUUUGGAGCUUAAUAGAGGUGGGCAUAUAUAAGAUUGUAAGUGUACUGAAUGCCACUGAUUUUUUCACUUUAAAAUGGAUCUUAAAAUGGUUAAUCUUAUGUUACAUGAAUUUCACCUAAACUAAAACAAAAAAGUAAAAGCUACAAACUUCUUGCUGUCCUCAAAAACAAUGAUACCCAAUUUAUAUAUGAAAAUCUCCCAAUGACCAGAGGUGGUUUAUGUUACUUUGAAAUUGACAUAAACUGAAAGAUGUAAAUAUUAUUUGUAAAUUUCAGUGGCCCUGAAAAC
rnacentral:lncRNA from 10 species